rnacentral:rRNA from 1 species
CCUACGGGGGGCAGCAGUGGGGAAUAUUGCACAAUGGGGGAAACCCUGAUGCAGCGACGCCGCGUGAGUGAAGAAGUAUUUCUGUAUGUAAAGCUCUAUCAGCAGGAACGAGACAAGACGGUACCUGACUAAGAAGCCCCGGCUAACUACGUGCCAGCAGCCGCGGUAAUACGUAGGGGGCAAGCGUUAUCCGGAAUCACUGGGUGUAAAGGGAGCGUAGACGGCUGUGCAAGCCUGAAGUGAAAGGCGGGGGCCCAACCCCUGGACUGCUUUGGAAACUGUACGGCUGGAGUGCAGGAGAGGUAAGUGGAAUGCCUAGUGUAGCGGUGAAAUGCGUAGAUAUUAGGAGGAACACCAGUGGCGAAGGCGGCUUACUGGACUGUAACUGACGUUGAGGCUCGAAAGCGUGGGGAGCAAACAGGAUUAGAUACCCUAGUAGUC